AUACUUACCUGGCAGGGGAGACACCAUGAUCACAUGGUUUUCCCAGGGUGAGGCUUAUCCAUUGCACUCCGGAUGUGCUGACCCCUGUGAUUUCCCCAAAUGUGGGAAACUCGACUGCAUAAUUUGUGGUAGUGGGGAAAAAAAAAAAAAGAGUUCAUUGAACCAUCCAAC
rnacentral:snRNA from 1 species